rnacentral:rRNA from 1 species
UAGAGGAAGUAAAAGUCGUAACAAGGUUUCCGUAGGUGAACCUGCGGAAGGAUCAUUACCGAGAUAGGGUCCCCCCCUGGGGGCCCGACCCUCCACCCGAUGCGCACCGACCCCAUUGUUGCUUUGACGGGCCCGGGGGCCCCUUGCGGUCCCCCGUUGGCGCGAGCGGGCGAGCGCCCGUCGAAGACCCCUUUAUCAACCUCAGUGAUCUGUGCCGUCCGAGCCAUGACAAAAAUCAAUCAAAACUUUCAACAACGGAUCUCUUGGUUCUGGCAUCGAUGAAGAACGCAGCGAAAUGCGAUAAGUAAUGUGAAUUGCAGAAUUCAGUGAAUCAUCGAAUCUUUGAACGCACAUUGCGCCCCCUGGUAUUCCGGGGGGCAUGCCUGUUCGAGCGUCAUUACACCCCUCGAGCCUCGCUCGGUGAUGGAGGCCGCCCGGUCGGGCGCCCCCGAAAAGCAGCGCGCGAGGCCCUUGGACCGUCCGGCGAAGUUAAAACAUAUCGUUCCGCCGUGUCGUCCAGGUGCCCCCGCCGGACAAUCCCCCGUACACGUACCACGAUUGACCUCGAAUCAGGUAGGGAUACCCGCUGAACUUAAGCAUAUCAAU